rnacentral:SRP_RNA from 1 species
GGCCGGGUCCCGUGCGACGGUCGUUCGUGAAUCGAGUCAGGGGUGGAAGCCAGCAGCUCUCAGCGGAUCAGACUGGGUGCCACGGUCCGCCUGGCCAUC